rnacentral:rRNA from 1 species
AUGGAUGGGGUGUCUGCUUACGGCACUGCUAAAGCAUACAAACUUCCGACAGGCAGGGAUCAUGCACCUGCAUCAUUUGCGGAACCCCAACGCAACGCUCCGGGCAUCUUCGCCCUCUCCAAACGCACCAAUAGUUGGGUCGCCAAGGCGUUGAAUAAUAAUUAUUGGGUCUGUCACAUCAAUCUACAAGGCGUCCUCUUGGUUACCCUCAUCCAACAAUUUUUUGCCGUUUCGUGCAAGUCCCUUGGGGUUCAGCUUGUCCCAUACACCAAGGAUGGCAUUCGGUGGAAUUUCACAGCCGAUGGAUGCUACUCCGCCGCCACCGCAUACAAGAUGCAGUUUGCCGGAUUGAUCAAGUCUGAGAUGCCUAGGAUGGUUUGGAAGAUUUGGGCACCUCUUAAGAUUAAAUUCUUCUCCUGGAUGAUCCUUCAAGAUAAAAUCUGGAGGGCUGACAGGUUGCUUUGCAGAGGUUGGUCAAACUCCGGCUUUGCCAACUUUGCAAGAGGGAAGCGGAAACGGUGGCUAACCUUAUGUUUAAAUGCCGCUUCACUAUUCAGGGUUUGGAACUUGAUUCACAAACUGUUGGGCCGGCAAUCGGCUACACCUUCUUGGAUCGACAUGCACACGAUCAAAUAA